AAAGCGAGUAGUGAAAGAUCCCGGCUCAACCGGGGCCCAUUAUUCGAACUCACAAGCUAGAGCAUAGUAGAGGUACCUGGAAUUCCUAGUGUAGGAGUGAAAUCCGUAGAUAUUAGGAGGAACACCGAUGGCGUAAGCAGGGUACUGGGCUAUUGCUGACACUAAGGCACGAAAGCGUAGGGAGCGAACGGGAUUAGAUACCCCGGUAGUCUACGCCGUAAACGAUGGAUGCUA
rnacentral:rRNA from 1 species